UACAGAGGUGGCAAGCGUUGUUCGGAAUUACUGGGCGUAAAGGGCGCGUAGGCGGGCCUCCCAGUCCGGGGUGAAAGCUUUCGGCUUAACCGGAAAAGUGCCUUGGAUACUGGAGGUCUGGAGGGAGGUAGGGGCAGUCGGAACUUCCGGUGGAGCGGUGAAAUGCGUUGAUAUCGGAAGGAACGCCGGUGGCGAAAGCGGACUGCUGGACCUUUUCUGACGCUGAGGCGCGAAAGCCAGGGGAGCGAACGGG
rnacentral:rRNA from 1 species